rnacentral:pre_miRNA from 1 species
UUCAAAAAUUGAAACACUGCAUGGAGCCCGGGGCCAGCGGGGAGUCCCGCCGACCCCGGGCUCCAUGCAAGCGCUUCUGCUUUGAAA